GAGGUGGGAAGAUCAUUUGAGCCUAGGAGUUGGAGGCUACAGUGAGCUAUAAUGCCACUGCACUCCAGCCUGAAAAAACAGGGCAAGACCAUUUCUGAAAAAAAAAAAAAAAAAAAAAAAAUAAUAAUAAUAAUAAUAAUAAUAAUAAAAUAAAUUUUUAAAAAGGAUAUUACCAAGGAUACAGAUGAAGAGAUAUGUAGGGUGAGGAAUAGUGCUGCAGUAAACAUGAGAGUGCAGAUAUCUCUUCCACAUACUGAUUCCAUUUCCUUUGGAUAUAUUCCCAGCAGUCAGAUGGCUGGAUCAUAUGGUAGUUCCAUUAAUUACUGCUAAAAGCUAAACAUCAGAUUUUUAUACGUAUAGGUGGCAUACAUUCAUCAGAAAUAUAUCGCGCUUCAUAAAUACUUGUACUUUUGGCUGCACAUUAUAAUGUAGUAUGGCAUAGUAUUGAGUAAUAGCAUAUCAAUUUAUUCUCUUCUGUUAAUAAAGAUCACUUGAGGUCAGGAGUUCGAGACCAGCCUGGCCAACAUGGUGAAACCCCAUGUCUACUAAAAAUACAAAAAUUAGCUGGACAUGGUGGCGGGUGCCUGUAAUCCCAGCUACUCAGGAGGCUGAGGCAGGAGAAUUGCUUGAACCCAAGAGGCAGAGGUUACAGUGAGCCAAGAUUGUACCACUGCACUCCAGACUGGGCAACAGAGUGAGACUGGGAAAAAAAAAAGUUAUCUUUCUAGGAGAA
rnacentral:lncRNA from 1 species